UGGUAGUAACUGCGGAUAACACCGCUUGUCCAACUGCCAUAUAGGAUGCUAUGGAGGUGGAAAGAGCAUAGUGUUGCGCAAACGAGUGGUCAGAUGACCAGGUAGCAGCGUUGCAAAUGUCCUGCAGUGGAACGUUAUGAAGGAAGGCAGUCGUGGAAGCUACCGCCCUGGUGGAAUGAGCUGUGAUAGUUCCAGGUAAGUCCUUGCCCUAUAGGGUGUAACAAGUUUUAAUGCAGGAUGUAAUCCAUCUAGAAAUUCUUUGAGAUGAGACUGCUCGUCCCUUAGAUCUUGCAGCGUAAGAGAUAAAAAGUCUAGGUGAGGCUUGCCACGGCUUUGUGCGAUCUACGUAGAACACCAGAGCUCGUCAGACAUCAAGAGUGUGACAUGCAGUCUGGAUUGGGUCCACGUGCGGCUUCGGAAAGAAGGCAGGCAGUCUCGGCAUCCUGGAGCCAUGAAGGAGCCAGGCAUGGAGAUUGAGCUUGAGAACAUUUGGAUGAAGGGUCCGACCAUGGUUCUGCGAGAGGAGGUUGUGGUGGGAAGGAAAGGGAUCCGGAUCCGUCACCGUCAUCUUGAGGAGAGAAAGUAAGGAGAACAGAAGGCUCUCCAUCUGCUGCCGAGGACGGUAGAGAAGGAACUGAGGAGCUGUACACGCAGGCGCCCUUCAAUUCCAACGACACUAGAGGGCUCCACGGCGCCUGCGUGGCGUGGCAGAAAUGGCUUGAAAAGUCUCCGGUCGCCGGCGCGAGGAUGCACCAGCACCCAGAGUGGAGCACCCACGGGGACCACUCGAAGGAGAAGUUAUAAAUAUGUGCUCUGUGUUGAUGCUGAAAGAUUCUCUGUCUGAGGCAGGGCAAUGGGCCAGGAAUGUUUGCCCAUGGACAUGCUGUCACGUUAUUGG